CCCGAGCUUAUCGCUUGGCGAGUGCUACUGACCAGUCGAAGCUGAAGUGACCGAGUGUGGAGAAAGCCGUGGGCCCACUGGUCCGGUAAAGUUGUAAAAUAGAUCUCGAGGAGGUGUUCGGAUAAAUUCUUGUCACAUCGUAUGUUCAAAUACUAAUUAGAAGUAUUAAAUAUAGUCUAAUUAAAAAACUAAUUGUACAGAUGAAGUCUAAUUCGCGAGACGAAUCUAUUAAGCCUAAUUAGUUCAUGAUUUGAGGGCCCACUGGUCCAGGCAUGGGGCAAAGUUGUAAAAUAGAUCUCGAGGAGUUGCAGGAGGUGUUCGGAUACAUUCUUGUCACAUCGGAUGUUUGAAUACUAAUUAGGAGUAUUAAAUAUAGUCUAAUUAAAAAAACUAAUUGUACAAAUGGAGUCUAAUUCGCGAGACGAAUCUAUUAAGCAUAAUUAAUUCAUGAUUUGACAAUGUGGUGCUACAGUAAUCAUUUGCUAAUGAUGGAUUAAUUAGGCUUAAUAGAUUCGUCUCGCGAAUUAGUAUAGGGGUUCUGUAGUUAGUUUUAUAAUUAGCUCAUGUUUAGUCCUCCUAAUUAACGUCCGAACAUUCGAUGUAACCCUCCUAAAGUUUAGCACCUCGUAUCCAAACAGCCCCAUAGGAGUGAGUAAGGAGAAAUUAGCUGCGUUGAGACUCUAAAUAACGAGGCUUCGCAUAUUUCACAUCCGAAAUAUUUGCUCCGCCGUUUUGACACCCGAAACAUUAGGUUGCUUGAUUUUGUGACAUUCUUCUCUUUUUAAUCUAUUUUCUUUUUUUUUUACAUUUUGACCUAUCAAAUGACAUAUGUGCCCU
rnacentral:lncRNA from 1 species